AGUGAACGCUGGCGGUAGGCCUAACACAUGCAAGUCGAACGGCAGCACAGUAAGAGCUUGCUCUUACGGGUGGCGAGUGGCGGACGGGUGAGGAAUACAUCGGAAUCUACUUUUUCGUGGGGGAUAACGUAGGGAAACUUACGCUAAUACCGCAUACGACCUACGGGUGAAAGCAGGGGAUCUUCGGACCUUGCGCGAUUGAAUGAGCCGAUGUCGGAUUAGCUAGUUGGCGGGGUAAAGGCCCACCAAGGCGACGAUCCGUAGCUGGUCUGAGAGGAUGAUCAGCCACACUGGAACUGAGACACGGUCCAGACUCCUACGGGAGGCAGCAGUGGGGAAUAUUGGACAGUGGGCGCAAGCCUGAUCCAGCCAUACCGCGUGGGUGAAGAAGGCCUUCGGGUCGUAAAGCCCUUUUGUUGGGAAAGAAAAGCAGCAGGUUAAUACCCCGCUGUUCUGACGGUACCCAAAGAAUAAGCACCGGCUAACUUCGU
rnacentral:rRNA from 1 species